rnacentral:rRNA from 1 species
CAAACCAAAGCUGGCGACCGGCGCACGGGUGAGUAACACGUAUCCAACCUGCCUCAUACUCGGGGAUAGCCUUUCGAAAGAAAGAUUAAUAUCCGAUAGCAUGUAUUUCCCGCAUGGGUUUUAUAUUAAAGAAAUUCGGUAUGAGAUGGGGAUGCGUUCCAUUAGUUUGUUGGGGGGGUAACGGCCCACCAAGACUACGAUGGAUAGGGGUUCUGAGAGGAAGGUCCCCCACAUUGGAACUGAGACACGGUCCAA